rnacentral:rRNA from 1 species
AGCGAACGCUGGCGGCAGGCCUAACACAUGCAAGUCGAACGAUCCUUCGGGAUAGUGGCGGACGGGUGAGUAACACGUGGGAACGUGCCCUUUGGUUCGGAACAACUCAGGGAAACUUGAGCUAAUACCGAAUGUGCCCUUCGGGGGAAAGAUUUAUCGCCAUUGGAGCGGCCCGCGUCUGAUUAGCUAGUUGGUGAGGUAAUGGCUCACCAAGGCGACGAUCAGUAGCUGGUCUGAGAGGAUGAUCAGCCACACUGGGACUGAGACACGGCCCAGACUCCUACGGGAGGCAGCAGUGGGGAACCUUGCGCAAUGGGCGAAAGCCUGACGCAGCCAUGCCGCGUGAAUGAUGAAGGUCUUAGGAUUGUAAAAUUCUUUCACCGGGGACGAUAAUGACGGUACCCGGAGAAGAAGCUCCGGCUAACUUCGUGCCAGCCGCCGCAGUAA